rnacentral:rRNA from 1 species
CGGCGGACGGGUGAGUAACACGUGGAUAACCUACCUAUAAGACUGGGAUAACUUCGGGAAACCGGAGCUAAUACCGGAUAAUAUAUUGAACCGCAUGGUUUCAUGAUGAAAGACGGUUUUGCUGUCACUUAUAGAUGGACCCGCGGCGUAUUAGCUAGUUGGUAAGGUAACGGCUUACCAAGGCAACGAUGCGUAGCCGACCUGAGAGGGUGAUCGGCCACACUGGAACUGAGACACGGUCCAG